rnacentral:rRNA from 1 species
AUUGAACGCUGGCGGAAUGCUUUACACAUGCAAGACGAACGGCAGCACGGGGCAACCUGGUGGCGAGUGGCGAACGGUGAGUAAUACAUCGGAACGUGCCCAAUCGUGGGGGAUAACGUAGCGAAAGUUACGCUAAUACCGCAUACGAUCUACGGAUGAAAGCGGGGAUCGCAAGACCUCGCGCGAAUGGAGCGGCCGAUGUCAGAUUAGGUAGUUGGUGGGGUAAAGGCUCACCAAGCCAAUGAUCUGUAGCUGGUCUGAGAGGACGACCAGCCACACUGGAACUGAGACACGGUCCAGACUCCUACGGGAGGCAGCAGUGGGGAAUUUGGACAAUGGGCGCAAGCCUGAUCCAGCCAUUCCGCGUGCAGGAUG